GACAGAGGAUGCAAGCGUUAUCCGGAAUGAUUGGGCGUAAAGCGUCUGUAGGUGGCUUUUCAAGUCCGCCGUCAAAUCCCAGGGCUCAACCCUGGACAGGCGGUGGAAACUACCAAGCUGGAGUACGGUAGGGGCAGAGGGAAUUUCCGGUGGAGCGGUGAAAUGCAUUGAGAUCGGAAAGAACACCAACGGCGAAGGCAGCACUCUGGGACGGUACUGACGCUGAGACGCGAAAGCGUGGGGAGCGAACAGG
rnacentral:rRNA from 1 species